UACGGAGGGUGCAAGCGUUAAUCGGAAUUACUGGGCGUAAAGCGCACGUAGGUGGUUUUCUAAGUCAGCUGUGAAAUCCCCGGGCUCAACCUGGGACUUGCAGUUGAAACUGGGAAGCUAGAGUAGGGUAGAGGGGUGUGGAAUUCCAGGUGUAGCGGUGAAAUGCGUAGAUAUUGGGAGGAACACCAGUGGCGAAGGCGGCUCACUGGACCGGUACUGACGCUGAUGCGCGAAAGCGUGGGGAGCAAACGGG
rnacentral:rRNA from 1 species